rnacentral:rRNA from 1 species
UACACACACUAGAGUUUGAUCCUGGCUCAGAUUGAACGCUGGCGGCAUGCCUUACACAUGCAAGUCGAACAGUAACAGGUUAAGCUGACGAGUGGCGAACGGGUGAGUAAUGUAUCGGAACGUGCCCAGUCGUGGGGGAUAACUGCUCGAAAGAGCAGCUAAUACCGCAUGAGACCUGAGGGUGAAAGCGGGGGACUCGCAGGAGCCUCGCGCGAUUGGAGCGGCCGAUAUCAGAUUAGGUUGUUGGUGAGGUAAAAGCUCACCAAGCCGACGAUCUGUAGCUGGUCUGAGAGGACGACCAGCCAUACUGGGACUGAGACACGGCCCAGACUCCUACGGGAGGCAGCAGUGGGGAAUUUUGGACAAUGGACGCAAGUCUGAUCCAGCCAUGCCGCGUGCGGGAAGAAGGCCUUCGGGUUGUAAACCGCUUUUGUCAGGGAAGAAACGAGUUUCUCUGAUACAGAGACUUAAUGACGGUACCUGAAGAAUAAGCACCGGCUAACUACGUGCCAG